rnacentral:rRNA from 1 species
GAUGAACGCUGGCGGCGUGCCUAACACAUGCAAGUCGAACGUGAGGGAAUAGCAAUAUUCCUGAAAGUGGCGAACGGGUGAGUAACACGUAGGUAACCUGCCGCGCAGAGGGGGAUAACGACUAGAAAUGGUCGCUAACACCGCAUGGUACUACUUUGACGGGAGUCUGAGUGGUUAAAACCUUGGUGCUGCGCGAGGGGCCUGCGUCCGAUUAGUUAGUUGGUGAGGUAACGGCUCACCAAGACGAUGAUCGGUAGCUGGUCUGAGAGGAUGAUCAGUCACACGGGAACUGAGACACGGUCACGACUCCUACGGGGGGCAGCAGUGAGGAAUAUUGCACAAUGGACGCAAGUCUGAUGCAGCAACGCCGCGUGGAGGAUGAAGGCCCUUGGGUUGUAAACUCCUUUUUUCGGGGAAGAGAAUGGACGGUACCCGAAGAAUAAGUCACGGCUAACUACGUGCCAGCCGCCGCGGUAAUAC